rnacentral:rRNA from 1 species
UCCCCUCGGGGGGGGCAGCAGUAGGGAAUCUUCCACAAUGGACGCAAGUCUGAUGGAGCAACGCCGCGUGAGUGAAGAAGGUCUUCGGAUCGUAAAGCUCUGUUGUUGGUGAAGAAGGAUAGAGGCAGUAACUGGUCUUUAUUUGACGGUAAUCAACCAGAAAGUCACGGCUAACUACGUGCCAGCAGCCGCGGUAAUACGUAGGUGGCAAGCGUUGUCCGGAUUUAUUGGGCGUAAAGCGAGCGCAGGCGGAAUGAUAAGUCUGAUGUGAAAGCCCACGGCUCAACCGUGGAACUGCAUCGGAAACUGUCAUUCUUGAGUGCAGAAGAGGAGAGUGGAACUCCAUGUGUAGCGGUGGAAUGCGUAGAUAUAUGGAAGAACACCAGUGGCGAAGGCGGCUCUCUGGUCUGCAACUGACGCUGAGGCUCGAAAGCAUGGGUAGCGAACAGGAUUAGAUACCCUGGUAGUCCAUGCCGUAAACGAUGAGCGCUAGGUGUUGGGGACUUUCCGGUCCUCAGUGCCGCAGCAAACGCAUUAAGCGCUCCGCCUGGGAGACAACCAA